CAUGCAAGUCGAACGGAAAUCUUUUAGAUUUUAGUGGCGAACGGGUGAGUAACACGUAAGCAACCUGCCUUUAAGACGAGAAUAACAAUUGGAAACAGUUGCUAAGGCUGGAUAGGAAAUAAAAAGGAAUCUUUUUAUUUUUAAAAGACCUUUUUCGGAAGGUAUGCUUAAAGAGGGGCUUGCGUCACAUUAGUUAGUUGGUAGGGUAAAGGCCUACCAAGACGAUGAUGUGUAGCUGGACUGAGAGGUUGAACAGCCACAUUGGGACUGAGACACGGCCCAAACUCCUACGGGAGGCAGCAGUAGGGAAUUUUCGGCAAUGGAGGAAACUCUGACCGAGCAACGCCGCGUGAACGACGAAGUACUUCGGUAUGUAAAGUUCUUUUAUUGAAGAAGAAACAAUAGUGGAAAAACUAUCUUGACGUUAUUCAAUGAAUAAGCCCCGGCUAACUAUGUGCCAGCAGCCGCGGUAAUACAUAGGGGGCGAGCGUUAUCCGGAAUUAUUGGGCGUAAAGGGUGCGUAGGCGGUUUAAUAAGUCUCUAGUUUAAUUUCAACGCUUAACGUUGUCCUGCUAGAGAAACUGUUUAACUAGAGUGAGAUAGAGGUAAGCGGAAUUCCAUGUGUAGCGGUAAAAUGUGUAAAUAUAUGGAGGAACACCAGAGGCGUAGGCGGCUUACUGGGUCUUUACUGACGCUGAUGCACGAAAGCGUGGGGAGCAAACAGGAUUAGAUACCCUGGUAGUCCACGCCGUAAACUAUGAGUACUAAGUGUCGGGGUUAAACUCGGUACUGAAGUUAACACAUUAAGUACUCCGCCUGAGUAGUACGUACGCAAGUAUGAAACUUAAAGGAAUUGACGGGAUCCCGCACAAGCGGUGGAUCAUGUUGUUUAAUUCGAAGAUACACGAAAAACCUUACCAGGUCUUGACAUACUCUGCAAAGCUAUAGAAAUAUAGUGGAGGUUAUCAGGGAUACAGGUGGUGCAUGGUUGUCGUCAGCUCGUGUCGUGAGAUGUUAGGUUAAGUUCUAAAACGAGCGCAACCCCUGUCGUUAAUUGCCAGCACGUUAUGGUGGGGACUUUAGCGAGACUGCCAAUGAAAAAUUGGAGGAAGGUGGGGAUUACGUCAAAUCAUCAUGCCCCUUAUGAUCUGGGCUACAAACGUGAUACAAUGGCUAUUACAAAGAGUAGCUGAAACGCGAGUUUUCGGCAAAUCUCAAAAAAAUAGUCUCAGUUCGGAUUGAAGUCUGCAACUCGACUUCAUGAAGUUGGAAUCGCUAGUAAUCGCGAAUCAGCAUGUCGCGGUGAAUACGUUCUCGGGGUUUGUACACACCGCCCGUCAAACCACGAAAGUGGACAAUACCCGAAAGCGACAGCCUAACUGCGUAAGC
rnacentral:rRNA from 2 species